rnacentral:rRNA from 1 species
GAGUUUGAUCAUGGCUCAGAACGUACGCUGGCGGCACGCCUAACACAUGCAAGUCGAACGAAGUAGUAAUACUUAGUGGCAGACGGGUGAGUAACAUGUAGGUAUCUGCCCUUUGGCCUGGAAUAACACGAGGAAACUUGUGCUAAUACCGGAUAAGUCUUUACGGAGAAAGCUUUAUGCACCAUUGGAUGAGCCUGCACUUGAUUAGUUUGUUGGUGGGGUAAUGGCCUACCAAGACUGUGAUCAAUAGCUGAUUUGAGAGGAUGAUCAGCCACAUUGGGACUGAGACACGGCCCAAACUCCUACGGGAGGCAGCAGUGGGGAAUCUUGCACAAUGGAGGAAACUCUGAUGCAGCGAUGCCGCGUGAGUGAAGAAGGCCUUUGGGUUGUAAAGCUCUUUCGUCGGGGAAGAAAAUGACUGUACCCGAAUAAGAAGGUCCGGCUAACUUCGUGCCAGCAGCCGCGGUAAUACGAAGGGACCUAGCGUAGUUCGGAACUACUGGGCUUAAAGAGUUCGUAGGUGGUUGAAAAAGUUGGUGGUGAAAUCCCAGAGCUUAACUCUGGAACUGCCAUCAAAACUUUUCAGCUAGAGUAUGAUAGAGGAAAGCAGAAUUUCUAGUGUAGAGGUGAAAUUCGUAGAUAUUAGAAAGAAUACCAAUUGCGAAGGCAGCUUUCUGGAUCAUUACUGACACUGAGGGACGAAAGCAUGGGUAGCGAAGAGGAUUAGAUACCCUCGUAGUCCAUGCCGUAAACGAUGUGUGUUAGACGUUGGAAAUUUAUUUUCAGUGUCGCAGCGAAAGCGAUAAACACACCGCCUGGGGAGUACGACCGCAAGGUUAAAACUCAAAUGAGUUGACGGGGACCCGCACAAGUAGUGGAGCAUGUGGUUUAAUUCGAAGAUACGCGCAGAACCUUACCAACACUUGACAUGUUCGUCGCGACUCUAAGAGAUUAGAGUUUUCGGUUCGGCCGGACGAAACACAGGUGCUGCAUGGCUGUCGUCAGCUCGUGUCGUGAGAUGUUGGGUUAAGUCCCGCAACGAGCGCAACCCUCACUUUUAGUUGCCAUCAUUAAGUUGGGCACUCUGAAAGAACUGCCAGUGAUAAGCUGGAGGAAGGUGGGGAUGACGUCAAGUCCUCAUGGCCCUUACGUGUUGGGCUACACACGUGCUACAAUGGUAUCUACAACAGGAAGCAAGACUGCGAAGUUAAGCAAAUCCCUAAAAGAUACCUCAGUUCGGAUUGCACUCUGCAACUCGAGUGCAUGAAGCUGGAAUUACUAGUAAUCGUGGAUCAGCGUGCCACGGUGAAUGCGUUCCCGGGUCUUGUACACACCGCCCGUCACACCAUGGGAGUCGGUUCUACCUUAAGGCAAGGUUUUAAACCCUUGACCACGGUAUAGUCAGCGACUGGGGUGAAGUCGUAACAAGGUAACC